GACCUGGUGGUGGAGUUGGUACCACGCCUGCUCUCCGUAUGUGAGAAUGAGCCAAUUUCUGAGCAGGAGGUCCUCGUUCAAUUCGGGGCCAGGUCA